rnacentral:rRNA from 1 species
GACGAACGCUGGCGGCGUGCCUAAUACAUGCAAGUCGAGCGGACGGAUGGGAGCUUGCUCCCAGACCGUCAGCGGCGGACGGGUGAGUAACACGUGGGCAACCUGCCUGUAAGACUGGGAUAACUCCGGGAAACCGGGGCUAAUACCGGAUAACUCUUUCCCUCACAUGAGGGAAAGCUGAAAGAUGGCAUCUCGCUAUCACUUACAGAUGGGCCCGCGGCGCAUUAGCUAGUUGGUGAGGUAACGGCUCACCAAGGCGACGAUGCGUAGCCGACCUGAGAGGGUGAUCGGCCACACUGGGACUGAGACACGGCCCAGACUCCUACGGGAGGCAGCAGUAGGGAAUCUUCCGCAAUGGGCGAAAGUCUGACGGAGCAACGCCGCGUGAGUGAUGAAGGUGUUCGGAUCGUAAAACUCUGUUGUCAGGGAAGAACAAGUACCGGAGUAACUGCCGGUACCUUGACGGUACCUGACCAGAAAGCCACGGCUAACUACGUG